UACGUAGGUGGCAAGCGUUGUCCGGAUUUACUGGGCGUAAAGAGCGCGCAGGCGGUCGUUCAAGUCGCGUGUGAAAGCCCCCGGCUCAACUGGGGAGGGUCACGCGAUACUGAUCGACUCGAAGGCAGGAGAGGGAAGUGGAAUUCCCGGUGUAGUGGUGAAAUGCGUAGAUAUCGGGAGGAACACCAGUGGCGAAGGCGACUUCCUGGCCUGUUCUUGACGCUGAGGCGCGAAAGCUAGGGGAGCAACGGG
rnacentral:rRNA from 1 species